rnacentral:rRNA from 1 species
CCCAGACUCCUACGGGAGGCAGCAGUGGGGAAUAUUGCACAAUGGGGGAAACCCUGAUGUAGCGACGCCGCGUGAGUGAAGAAGUAUUUCGGUAUGUAAAGCUCUAUCAGCAGGGAAGAUAAUGACGGUACCUGACUAAGAAGCCCCGGCUAACUACGUGCCAGCAGCCGCGGUAAUACGUAGGGGGCAAGCGUUAUCCGGAUUUACUGGGUGUAAAGGGGGCGCAGACGGCAAUGCAAGCCAGGAGUGAAAGCCCGGGGCCCAACCCCGGGACUGCUCUUGGAACUGCAUGGCUGGAGUACAGGAGGGGCAGGCGGAAUUCCUAGUGUAGCGGUGAAAUGCGUAGAUAUUAGGAGGAACACCGGUGGCGAAGGCGGCUUACUGGACCAUAACUGACGUUGAGGCUCGAAAGCGUGGGGAGCGAACAGGAUUAGAUACCCUCGUAC